ensembl:lncRNA
GGACUUUGCAUGGACUUACUUUUCUUAUUUCAUCUUACUGAAAAGAAAGCACUGGAUGUAAACCUUGUGUUCUUUCCUUCACAUCAAUAGAGAGGGAAGGUCAGAGUAAUCUAAAGGCUUGCAUGAAGCUAGUUUCUAGAUGUGCUUUGAAAAAGGAGAACAUGCUGAAUCUUUGCUCAACUCCUGCUCCAAAAUCAACAACAUUCACUCUUCCUGUGGUCCUCAGCUCAUGUCUCCAUAUGCUCUGUAGCCUUCAUUUGUAAUUAAAUUUUUGAGCCACCCAAAGUCAGAAUCCAUAUUCCUUCUAAUCACAGCUGGAUUUCUGCCUAUGGGAUGAGUUAUUUGCUCAGCAGUAAGACCCUAGUCUUUGUGAGCCAUACAAAAGGAUUACAAAGCAAUUCACAGUCUUAGUAGCAACAUCUGAGACUACAGUGUUUAGUUUGUCUUUCUUUGUGGUCUUUUUUAGCAGUUUGGUUCUAAAGACUUCUUGAUUAAGGAUUUAAUGUCUGAAGAAUAAAUUAAUCACAUAUAUAGCACUGUAUGAUUUAGGUCGAGGGCAUUCAAAAUUUUGAUGAUUACUUAAGGGAGAAGACACAAAAGAAAAAAAAAGCACGCAGUAAAGACUUUGUGGCAGUCUGUUCCCAGAAUUAUGAUCUUGUUUUUGUUUUGUUUUUUAUAAUUACAUUAUCGCAGUUUUUUUUUCCUUUGGGUUUUUUUUUUUUUUUUUGGUCAGUUGUUGCUUUCAGCGUUUAGUCCAGAAAGUUUAGUCUGGUAUACUCGUUUGAGCAAAAGUUGAAAUGAAAGAAAAAUGUCCUGAUCUGCACCGUUGUAUCACAGUAUAAAUUGUGGACAAAUGAAAUCUAUAACAAUUCGUUCUUUUCCUGUCACGCUCAUUAGCUUUAUAUAAUAAAAGGAUAAAAGGAUAGCAAAGCAUUAAGUGACUUUGACAUGACAUGCUCAUGUAUUAGAUAACGUAUUGAUAUACUUGAUGAUGCAUGUAACAGCUGAUACAUUAACUGCCUUUUUGUUUCUCACUAAUGGCAAUUCCACAGAUGGCUGCACAAUGAUGUGAUGAACCUUGAAUUAAUAUUUAAUGGCUUAGAAACUUCACACUACCAUGUGACAGUUUCACUUGGAAAAGGUUUUUUUUCCCUCAUUGAGCUUGAAAUUGUUUCAACGAUUAUAGAAUUGCAAGGUGAAAAUGAUCACUUAAAAAUACAUUAGGAACGAGUAAACAUGGCGCAUAUAGUCAAAUCUGACCGAUCACAAAACUGCAAUAAAUGAAAUGGAAUUAAUCUGAAAUGAAAAAAUGCACAAGUUAAAAUAGGUAUUUUCCAUUCAGACAUGAAGGAGAAGUAGAGCUAGUCCACCUCAGCAUGGCCAUUGA